AUUGAACGUUGGCGGCAGGCCUAACACAUGCAAGUCGAGCGGAUGAAGGGAGCUUUCUCCUGGAUUCAGCGGCGGACGGGUGAGUAAUGCCUAGGAAUCUGCCUGGUAGUGGGGGAUAACGUCCGGAAACGGGCGCUAAUACCGCAUACGUCCUGAGGUAGAAAGUGGGGGAUCUUCGGAGCUAACGCUAUCAGCUGAGCCUAGGUCGGAUUAGCUAGUUGGUGGGGUAAAGGCGUACCAAGGCGACGAUCCGUAACUGGUCUGAGAGGAUGAUCAGUCACACUGGAACUGAGACACGGUCCAGACUCCUACGGGAGGCAGCAGUGGGGAAUAUUGGACAAUGGGCGAAAGCCUGAUCCAGCCAUGCCGCGUGUGUGAAGAAGGUCUUCGGAUUGUAAAGCACUUUAAGUUGGGAGGAAGGGAAGUAAGUUAAUACAUGGCUGUUUUGACGUUACCAACAGAAUAAGCACCGGCUAACUUCGUG
rnacentral:rRNA from 1 species